rnacentral:rRNA from 1 species
CCUACGGGUGGCAGCAGUAGGGAAUAUUGCUCAAUGGGGGAAACCCUGAAGCAGCAACGCCGCGUGGAGGAUGAAGGAUUUCGGAUUGUAAACCCCUUUUGUUAGAGAAGAUAAUGACGGUAUCUAACGAAUAAGCACCGGCUAACUCCGUGCCAGCAGCCGCGGUAAUACGGAGGGUGCAAGCGUUACUCGGAAUCACUGGGCGUAAAGAGCGCGUAGGCGGGAUAGCAAGUCAGAUGUGAAAUCCUGUGGCUUAACCAUAGAACUGCAUUUGAAACUGGUAUUCUGGAGUGUGGGAGAGGUAGGCGGAAUUCUUGGUGUAGGGGUGAAAUGCGUAGAGAUCAAGAAGAAUACUCAUUGCGAAGGCGACCUGCUGGAACGUAACUGACGCUGAGGCGCGAAAGCGUGGGGAGCAAACAGGAUUAGAUACCCUUGUAGUC